rnacentral:misc_RNA from 1 species
AAGUCGUAACAAGGUUUCCGUAGGUGAACCUGCGGAAGGAUCAUUAAAAAUAAGACGAGGUCAAUUGAUAAGUCUGGCUUCUCGCCGGACGUACGGUAAAAGUCCGUAGCCUCAUUUUGGUUUUACCAAAACUCUUCUGUGUACCUAUUACUUGUUGCUUCCCUGGGGUAACUCAGGGAAGGCAUACAUAUACUCUGUUUAUUGUAGUCAGUCUGAAUUUGUUUAUUUAUAAACGUUAAAACUUUCAACAACGGAUCUCUUGGUUCUC